ensembl:lncRNA
CUGCUGGUGUAUCAGUUCAUAAACGGCCUUUCUCUGCUUGAGCUUCUUAGGGCCACGAAGCAGUUCAUGGAGAUCCUCUCUGGUCAAUGUCCGGAUUUCAAAUGAAAUAAAAAAUGGCUUUACUAGCACUGGCAGCACAUAGAUGAACAAUGUCCAUCACUACCACUUAAAAUAAUUUUUCUUGGAAGCUCCUUUAUCUACCUUACCAGUGUGGUCAUCACCAUCCGUCCCACUGUUUCUACUAUCACGUGUUCUGGCAUUACCAACAUUACCUGCUUGUUUGCAUUGAAAAUCAGAAGCGUGUGUGUCAUUAUCACCCCUCAACCUGCUGUGACUUGAAGCGACAUAAUCACCCAUACUUUUUGGGUGGCCUUGAAAAGCGUGUGUGUCAUCAUGAUGAGCUAUGCCACGGCUUCCAAUGGGACGUGCAUCCACACAAGGACGCCUACCACUCCAGUGGUCAUGACUACUUGUACUGCUAGUCCUUUGGGAGAUGACAUUACUACUAGUACCAGUGUUGCAUUCAUGAGCAAGCAAAGCCAUAUUGUCAUUUCCUGAUUGAACCAACGAUUCGGAAGCACUGCUAUUAUGACAGCAGGGGUCCGACAUUGCAAUGUCGCUAUCGUCGACACAUUCACAGAUGCUUUUUUCACAGUGUUUCAUUAAUGUGGUGUGCAUUUCAUCGAGCGCCUGGUUGUUCAUGACGCAGGGCACCAAUCCAUGCACGGUUUCUUGGUAGAAAACGUUGACAACCAACGCAAUGUUCCAUUUCUUGAGGACUGACCCUGGCUUCUGGAUGACUACUUCGUUGGGAUUGUAUCUGUGAUGCAUCAUCACCAAAAUAACAGGUUUGUCAACCAAUGACUCUACAAAGAGAAGAAGGGGAGAGGAUAUUUUAGUGACAGGGCCUGGACAAGCACUACAUAACAAUAAAAAUCACACUGAUUGCCAAUCAUUAGCGGACAUGUUGCACUUCAAUGUGUCUGAAGGAAAAUUAAACCAUGGCCAUUACCUGGAUGUUUAUUCAUGACACUCUCCAAGUCUGAGUCAAUCCGUGACGUGAUUGGACAGAACACAAUAAUGAGCUGGGGGCUGUCUUCUGUCUCUGUAAGAAUCACUUUUCCCCUGUUCCUCAAUUGUUCCAAUAUGGUAUUUUCGCAGUUUAAUGUUUUGCCGCUUACAAUAGACUGGAAUGUUACAGUAUGGAGUUCU